CUGCUGCCUCCCGUAGGAGUCUGGUCCGUGUCUCAGUACCAGUGUGGGGGACCUUCCUCUCAGAACCCCUACGCAUCGUCGGUUAGGUGGGCCGUUACCCCGCCUACUGCCUAAUGCGCCGCAUGCCCAUCCCUGUCCGGCCGAAGCCUUUCCUGCCUCCGGGAUGCCCCGGUGGCAUGUACGCGGGUUUAGCCCGCCUUUCGGCGGUUGUCCCCCUGACAGGGGCAGGUUGCAUACGUGUUACUCACCCGUGCGCCGGUCGCCGGCGGAGAAAG
rnacentral:rRNA from 1 species